rnacentral:rRNA from 1 species
GGGGAAUAUUGCACAAUGGGGGAAACCCUGAUGCAGCAACGCCGCGUGAGUGAUGAAGGCCUUAGGGUUGUAAAGCUCUGUUAUCUGGGACGAUAAUGACGGUACCAGAGGAGGAAGCCACGGCUAACUACGUGCCAGCAGCCGCGGUAAUACGUAGGUGGCGAGCGUUGUCCGGAUUUACUGGGCGUAAAGAGUGCGUAGGCGGAUGUUUAAGUGAGAUGUGAAAUACCCGAGCUCAACUUGGGUGCUGCAUUUCAAACUGGGCAUCUAGAGUGCAGGAGAGGAAAGCGGAAUUCCUAGUGUAGCGGUGAAAUGCGUAGAGAUUAGGAAGAACACCAGUGGCGAAGGCGGCUUUCUGGACUGUAACUGACGCUGAGGCACGAAAGCGUGGGGAGCAAAC